rnacentral:rRNA from 1 species
GCGCUAAUAGAUGAGCCUAAGUCGGAUUAGCUAGUUGGUGGGGUAAAGGCCUACCAAGGCGACGAUCUGUAGCGGGUCUGAGAGGAUGAUCCGCCACACUGGGACUGAGACACGGCCCAGACUCCUACGGGAGGCAGCAGUGGGGAAUAUUGGACAAUGGGGGGAACCCUGAUCCAGCCAUGCCGCGUGUGUGAAGAAGGCCUUAUGGUUGUAAAGCACUUUAAGCGAGGAGGAGGGUACUGGUAUUAAUACUACCAGCUACUGGACGUUACUCGCAGAAUAAGCACCGGCUAACUCUGUGCCAGCAGCCGCGGUAAUACAGAGGGUGCGAGCGUUAAUCGGAUUUACUGGGCGUAAAGCGUGCGUAGGCGGCUAAUUGAGUCGGAUGUGAAAUCCCCGAGCUUAACUUGGGAAUUGCAUUCGAUACUGGUUAGCUAGAGUGUGGGAGAGGAUGGUAGAAUUCCAGGUGUAGCGGUGAAAUGCGUAGAGAU